AAAAAGGCCCUUUUUAGGGCCCCCAAGUUUUCACCGAAAGAGCUGG
rfam:Equus caballus chromosome 20, whole genome shotgun sequence.